rnacentral:rRNA from 1 species
AUUGAACGCUGGCGGCAGGCCUAACACAUGCAAGUCGAGCGGAUGAAGGGAGCUUGCUGCUGGAUUCAGCGGCGGACGGGUGAGUAAUGCCUAGGAAUCUGCCUGGUAGUGGGGGAUAACGUCCGGAAACGGGCGCUAAUACCGCUUACGUCCUGAGGGAGAAAGUGGGGGAUCUUCGGACCUCACGCUAUCAGAUGAGCCUGGGUCGGAUUAGCUAGUUGGUGGGGUAAAGGCUUACCAAGGCGACGAUCCGGAACUGGUCUGAGAGGAUGAUCAGUCACACUGGCACUGAGACGCGGGCCAGACUGCUACGGGAGGGAGCAGGGGGGAAUAUUGGACAAUGGGGGCAAGCCUGAGCCAGCCAUGACGCGUGAGUGAUGAAGGCCUUAGGGUUGGAAAGCUCUUUUAUACGGGACGAUAAUGACGGUACCGGAGGAAUAAGCACCGGCUAGCUUCGUG